GCUACAAGUGCUAGCUCUGGGAAGUUGAUGUGCUCUCGGUAUCUGUGUGGUGAAAAGCUGAGGCAGAAUGGUGACAUUAACAUUUAACGUCUUGGUUUUUAUUUGAGUAUAAUGUUAGUGUUCUGAUUGCUGUUAUGCAUUUUGUAUUUGCUCAACUUUUUAGUCCCACUUGGUUACUUUAGAGAGGGAAGCAUUUCUCUGCUGCACAUUUCCUGUUUCCUAGCAACAAGAGCAAUGUGGAAUCGGGGAUGGAAGAAAAAAAAAGACAAUUGGGCAUAGGGGGCUGGCCUUUUACAUAAAUAUUAUGUUUUUAUAGUAAUGAAUGAAACAUAUAUCAUCGGAUGCCUGCGUUACAUUGGUUCCGCUACAGCUACAUUUGCCUGCCUCUUCUAAUCGUAUAGAUCUGGCUCUCAACAUCCUCUGCUGUCCUACCUGCAUAGACUUCACUUGGACCUAAACUUCUUCUUCUUUUUUUUGUCAAGAAAGGCAUCUAAUGCAUUUCCCACCUUCACACUUCAUCGCAUGUCUGGUACACUUAAUUUUAUUCAAACAUUGUAAUGGCAGUGCAAGACCCUGGCAGAAUGACAGGUUUCCCCUGCAAAGAGUGUGGCAUGGUAUAUCCCAAUAUGCCUAGUCUGCUCGAGCACAUGGACGGCCACCUUCAAGAAGAGGAGGAGCGUAAAUUUAAAUGUGAUGAAUGUGGACGUGGCUAUAGACAUGCUGGUAGCCUGGCUAACCACAAAAAGACACACGAAGUUGGUUCUUUUCAAUGUGAAGUAUGUGGUAAAGAAAACUCUAAUGCUUUGUCACUGAAGAGCCACCUCCGCAGCCACACAUCACGGAAAAAGUACUCAUGUACAGAAUGUGGGAAAGGUUUUCGUCUGGCAUCACAGCUGGCAACGCAUGAGAGGGCUCAUCUUACCAGGCGAGCAAAGGGCCCUUCAUAUAGAAAGCUAGAUAUGGAAGAUUCCACUGAUGAACAACUUGAUAAAAUUGAAAAUGAUCACCCUCACAAUCUUAGGAGGCGUCCAUCCAGUGUCAGGAUUUCUACAGAAAAUAGUCCAGUUAAGGAUACGGCAGAGGUUUAUAAUUUGCAAGCGGAGUCCUCUGAUGAUGCUGGAAAUCGACCUUUCAGGUGUGACUUGUGUGACAAAUCAUACAUACAUCUUCGAAGCCUGAGCAAUCAUAAAAAGACUCAUCAGGUGGGGAAGUUUGAGUGCACAGUCUGUUUCAAACAGUUCAAUAACAUGGCUGCUCUCUACAGCCACCAGAGAACCCACAAGGGAAGAAGUGGGACAGACACUGGUUCUGUGGGUGUGUCAUACACAGGCACACCACAAGGCCAAUUUUCACCUCAGAGCCAGGAUGCUCCAGUAAAUUUCUGCCACUUAUGUCAGGUACAUUUUCCCAGUGAUGAGGAAUUCCAAGAACACAUCCAAAUGCAUAACUCUUCUUCUGUGUCAUUCGGACUGCAAGAUACCUUGUCAGACAACCCUCCUGUAUCAUAUGACAACAGCAUUGCGUCGCCUGAGUCCAACUUUUAUGCAUCUCCAGUCAAUAAUAUUCCUUCAGUAUCAUCAAUGGAUAAUGGCGGUUUUGAUCACUCACAGGAGCAGAUAAUAAGCAAUGGUCGUGAAUACUCGGACUGCUCCAAUAAUCAAACUCCAUCUUCCAGUAGCACUCAGGGAGAACCCCCAAUCAUUGACCCAAGCAUUCUCGAUCCUGUUCUGAUGCACACACGCAACACUGACAGUGCAACCGAAAUGGAGGAGUCUUUAACUGAUUCUGAUGAGCGUCCUUUCAAGUGUGAAACCUGUGGUAAGAGCUACCGCCACUCCGGGAGCCUCAUUAAUCACAAAAGGUCACAUCAGGUUGGCAUUUACCAGUGUUCCAUAUGCAGAAAGAGUUAUCCUCACCUAGCUGCCCUCAAAAGUCAUCUUCGUCUCCACAAAUCUCAGCCGUCAUCUUUUAGCCUCACUGCUGAGGGGGACUGGCUCUCCACAGAGCCGUUGACUCUGGAUAACCAGCAGGCCUGCUUCUCCUCACAUGAGGAGGUGGACAGCAUUCAGCCCAUGCUUGGUCUUGAUCAGAGGAAUGGAGUCGACCACAGCAACGUAUCGUUGUACCAUGAGCAGUUUAAUCAGGACUUUUCCCGAGAUAUGACGGUGCAUCUACCUCACAAUGAACACCUGAUGCAGAGGCACAUGUGUGCUGACUGUGGUGAGACAUUUGCCGAUAUUGCAGGGAUUAAGUCUCACAGUUGUCCCCUGCUGCAGCAGCAACACAACGCUACUAGCAGUGAAUAUGAGAGUCAUGUAAACUUCCAGGAUAGUAACAGUCACUAUUCCAUUGGCAAUCCAGAGACUAAUGUAGAUUUUCAAGGUCUAAAUGGUGGCCAUGACCAAAGUUACUUAGAUCAAAAUUUCCAUGAAAAUGUGAGCAGUUGUCCGAUAAAUGGUGGAGGAGCAGGUGAUGACACAGAAGAGGAGGAGGAGGAGGAGGAGGAGGAGGAUGAUGAUGGAGAACUUUAUCAAUGCUCCAUAUGUGGAAACAGCUACACCAGCAUGAGGGCUCUCAGGAGCCAUCUUCGAGGGCACACACAGUCCCACGGGACUCCUGCAAGCUCAGGGCCUUCAUCCAUGUCCUCACAUGAAGAAGCGAAGGAUGAAGAGUUGGGAGAGAUGAUGAUCUGUAGUACCUGUGGGGAAAGUUUUGCUAAUAGGCAGGACUUGAUUGUCCAUCAGCUUCUUCACAACAAAGACCUGGUAGACAAUGUUAGUGAUUUACAAAUGAACCACAACAAUGUGUCUGAAGGCACGGAGGAAGCGCAGAGCAUCAUCUGUGGCAGCUGUGGAGUUUUCUGCACCAGCUAUCAUCAUCUGGAGAACCAUGGGUGCACGACUCAGAGGAAAGUCGAGUCAACAAAUUGUGAAGAGGAUAUUAUGGCAAAAGACGUCGACCAGUUUGAAGAUACAAGUGGCGUUAAAGAAACAGGUGAUGCUGAAGAUCGCCAGUACAAGUGUGAUCAGUGUGGUCGGUCAUACAGACACGCCGGCUCCCUCCUUAACCACAAAAAGUCCCACAAAACUGGAGUAUUCAGAUGCCUUGUUUGCCAGAAACGUUUCUACAACUUGUUGGCCUUGAAAAACCAUCAGAGGUCCCACUUUGAUAUUAAGAGGCAUACUUGCCAAGAGUGUGGGAAAGCCUUCAAAAUCCAGAAGCAGCUAUUGAACCACCUGAGGAGGCACAAGGAGAACCAGGCCAAAAUCCAGGAACUUAACAACCAGAUCCAGGCCCUCAUGCAGAUGAAUGGGACCAGGUCAGAUGGAGGAAUGCAGCCCUUAACUUCAAAUUCCAAUCAGGCUUUAACUCCUACUCGCGGCUGCAAGCAGCAACCUGAAGAAGAAACUGCUGGAACAAACAAGACUUUAGUCAAAUCAGAAGACACCGAUGACCAACGUCCAUUUGCUUGUGAUCAGUGUGGUCGUACAUAUCGCCACGCAGGAAGUCUGGUCAACCACAGAAACUCCCAUAAGACAGGUGAAUAUUACUGUUCUGUUUGUAACAACUCCUACUCCAAUAAGCUAGCAAUGAAAAACCACAUGCGCACCCACUUUGCAUAUAAAAAACACUUGUGCCAAAAGUGUGGAAAAGGCUUUAGGGGGAAGAAGCAGCUAUUAGCUCACGUCUGUUCAACCCUCAGAAAGGAUGGGGCCAGAGGAAGGAGAGGACUAAGAUCUAAAGCCCUUAAGUGUAAGGAAUGUAAAAAGGGCUUUAUAUCUAUGAGCCAACUGACAACCCACACGUGCAUUAGACCUUCAGGUGGAAGUGACACCCAAACAAACACGUCUCAAAACAAAGAGGAGCGUCCUUUCAAAUGCAACAUCUGCAAUCGCAGCUACCGCCACGCCGGCUCACUCCUGAACCACAAAAACACCCACAAGACAGGACACUUCAGUUGUACCUUCUGCUCUAAACCGUUCACCAACCCCAUGGCUCUACGCAAUCACACGCGCAUCCACACGCAGAAGAAAAAGUUUGUGUGUCUCACUUGUGGAAAGGCCUUCCGCCUCGCCAGUAUCCUGCACAACCACCAGAGGGUCCACAACCGGGUGGCAAGUCACUUCAGCUGCCCUGCCUGUGGAAAGUGUUUCCAGGGGCGGUCUGGUCUGAAGAGGCAUCGCUGCCACAGAGGUCGGGGAAGCUCGACAAGAACUGGAGUCCAGCAAACGGAGAGAGGAGACAAGUGCUUUAUGUGUGACCUGUGUGGGCGCUCCUACCGUCACGCUGGCUCCCUACUCAACCAUAAAAAGACACACUCCGAAAACCUCCACCACUGUACCUUGUGUCUCCAGACAUUUCCAGACUCUCUUGCUCUACAGAUCCACUCUCAGAUGAAGCGCCAUUGCUGCCCCGAGUGCGGCAAGACCUUCUGUCUGGUGGCACACCUGCAGAGUCAUAUGGAGGUGCACUCAAAAGACCAAGCUGUAGAGUGCAGCCUCUGUCAGCAAAGCUUUCCCAACUCAGACAGUUACCAGCAGCACCACGAGAUGCACCACGGGGAGCAGGCCCCCUAUGAAGAGGAGGUGGAAGAACCCACAGAUGAUAAAUUCAACUGGGACUCAGGAAUAAAUCAGAACUUGGGCAUGGACGGUGUGCACAAACAGGUUCCACCGCCUCUGUCUCAUAUUCCAGGAAACGUCACCGACUCACAGAAAGGUAACGGCGCCGAGGAGAAGAGCCACGUCUGUGAGCACUGCGGCCGCACGUACCGCCACGCCGGCUCCCUGCUCAACCACAAGAACAGCCACAAGACGGGCUCCUUCUUCUGCUCCAUCUGCCAGAAAGAGUUCACCAACCUGAUGGCCCUCAAGAACCACCGCCGCAUCCACACGGAGCCCAAGCGCUACCAGUGCUUGGAGUGUGGGAAGGCGUUCCGCGUGUCCACUCAGCUCAUAUGUCACCGGAGGAUCCACACCAAAGAGAAGCCCUUCGCCUGCCUGCUGUGCGACAAGAGCUUUUCCAGCAAGUCCAACCUGCGGCACCAUCAGAAGCUGCACCAGAACACGCAGACGUACGAUUCCUGUCUUAGCUUGGACGCUGACACGUUUAUGGACCUGGACAUGGGCUCUUUCCUUUAAAGUAGUAUUCUGUUAUUUACAGUAUCUGACUAUCUGUAAUUGUAAAACAGUAGUGUUUUCCCCCCGUUUUCAAAGAUGCAUUUCCACUACUGACUCACACUCUUACCUCCACAACAGUUUAUUGGGCAUCUUUUAAUAAGGUUUGAAGUUUUUCCCCGGAGUAUAGGGCAGCUGAUGAAAAUGAACACGGCUCAUUCUUUGAUGACAAAAACGAAAUCAACCAAAGUGAGCAGAGAAGUGCAGCCCGAGUCCAUAUGUGACUUUCGAAGGAAAGUUAUUAAGUCAAAAAACCUCUGGGUGUGACCUAAGGUCAGUGGCAAAGUGAUUUUCUGAAAUUAUAUUACUACGUAAAUAGUCAUACUGCCUAAUGAUAUUCACCUAGAGUGACAUUGUAUGCUAAGAAAAAAAAGUAUUUAUUAAUUUAUUCCUGUUAUUUUUAUGUCCAUAUUUUAAUAGAAGCCCUUUUUAUGAAUGUUGUACAAAGAAACGAUCUUAUUAAAAUCCCGCGUAGUGUGUGAGGGACUUCCAUCAGUCCAAGAUUUCUAACUCUGUAGUUUGCGACAGGCAGGGAUGAAUGAGCCAAGGAUGGCGCGCGUCAUUGGCGCCGCUCAGGGUCAACCUUCAAAAGGAACAUACCUGAUGUGUAAAACAUGGUUUCCUUUUCUUUCUUUUAGUUGUGCCAUAUAAUUGACAUAUAGUCACUGCUGCACAUGCAGUGCGUGCGUCAGUUAUGUAGACAAGCCAGUGCCUAAACUGUAAACUGACUGUAGCAAUUCAAUGUAAACAAACCUCCUCCUCCUCUUCUUACUGUACCUGUUAUACUGUAAAACACCAUGUUCGGUCGUUUCUUUGUUUUUUGCUUUUGUUCUGAACAUUUUCAGUCACAAACGUUUAAAAAUAUAUCCAGCAGUUAACAACGAAAAUCAUGUCUUUGUCUUUCCAUUUACAAGUGCUGUGUGUGAGUCCAGGAGAAUAAUGAGGCAUUUGUACUUUCAAACAAAUACAGUAUGUGGCCUAAUUUCUGCUAAGCACAAACAUUACUGCCAACACACCAGAUCUUUUGUAGACUCACGAUAAUCCAGUUACAUCGUUUCUGUCAAAGUUCAUGAACGUUUCCCCUGUGACUUUUAUUCUGUUUUGGGCCAAAGUUGUAUACACUUUUCCUAGAUUUCCGUAU